GGCAAGGCCUAGAAGACCCAUGGGACACACACACCCGUCUACACCGGGAUGGAUCCCAGGGGUAUGAGCAGCACUCCAGGCCAGGGUUUGGGUAGUGAAUGAGCAGUGAUGGUCUGACCUCUCCAUAAAGCCUGCCACAAUGGAGGAGGUGUGAGUGUCUCGCACAGCAGUUCUCAACCUGGGUGUUGCAACCCCUUUAAGGGUGGAAGGGCCCCUUUCAGAGGGCUUGCACAUCAGAUAUCCUGCUUAUCAGAUAUUUACACUAUGGUUCACGACAGUAGCAAAAUUACAGUUAUGAAGUAGCAGCAAAAAUAAUUUUACGGUUGGGGGUCACCACAACAUGAGAGAGUGAAUUAAAGGGUCCCAGUGUUAGGGAGGUUGAGAGCCACUGUGCUAGAGGAAACAUUGUUUCCAUGCUGUGAGGAACGACAGACACGGGGCAGUUAGACCAGCAACUUCCAAUUCCAGCUGUUCCCCUAAAAGCAUCUCGGGAACGUUUCUUUUACUGUCAAAACCUGUAGAUUCAACUGGUCCAUGGUGGAGGGUGAGCAAGGAUACAUUUUUAAAGAGUGCAGUAUUCUCCUUAUUCCCUCCACCUUUGUUUGUUUCUUUGUGGUGAUGCUGAGGACAGAACCCUCCCUGAAUCCUACCCUUAACCAAGCCAUUCCCUACUCUGAGCGAGAAGAGACGGAUGUGGGUGGCUACGGUGGUUUAAGUAAGAAAUGCCUCCCAGUGGUUUAUAUAUUUAAAAACCUGCUCCCCAGUUGUUGAUGCGGUUUGGGGGAGAUUCUGAGGUCUCUGGGAUGUACAACCUUGCUGGAGGAAUUACGUCACUAGGGGCGGGCUUUGAGGGUUUAUAGCUUUGCUUCACUUCCUGUUCGCUCUCUCUGCUUCUCCUGGGCAAAUAAACUGUGACCAGCCAGGUUCCUUCUCUGACCACCACUGGCAAGCUUUUCAGCCAUUAUGGACGCUGCCCCCUUCCCGACCCCGGAAUGGAGACUGAAAUAAACUGUUUCUCCUACAGGAUGAUUUUGGUUACGGGGUUUUAUCACAGCAGCACGAAACAUGAGGUGAGGAGUUUAUCUCUUCCUACCACCCCACCUCCCACCAUAAUGGUCUGCCUUACCACAGCCUGAAAGGAAUGGAACCUUGCUGCUACCAAGGACUGGGACCUCUCCAACUGUGAGCCACAAGAUGCAGCAGCCCUGCGAAGGCUCUUCACCAGCUUCCACGAUCACAGAAGCCUAGUCAAGGGCCAUUCUAUGCUACUCACAAGGAAUUAUGGCUUCUGUGGGCCAAGACACUUUUCCUUCAUGGACUUUUCUGACAUCAAACAUUUUAAAAUUGCAAUUUAUGACUGAAUAAAUUGUAUGUGUAUAAAGAGAAAUAUUAUUUCAGUUGGAUUUAUGUCUCCAUCAUCACACUUACUGACGCCUCUGUGAGCGUGAAUAAAUACCAUGAACAUUGUGUGCCUCGUGAAUGAACUGACCUCGGGUGUCUCUCACUAAAAGCACAUGUAUGCAUAUCAUUUCUUCUGUGGUUGGUUCGGUGUUUUUGUUAAUCAUGUUGUCCUGAGUUUUGUAUUUGUUCCUGGUUUGGGUAUUUUCAGAAAUAGGGUCUAUCAUGUACUCUUGGCUGGCCUGGAACUUACUGUGAUAUCCUCCUACCUCUGGUUCCUGAACGUAAGUAAUCAUUCUCAGCUCCCUUUAAGAAUGAGUUUAAAGGAAUCACUCCAAGCAUCUGGUGUGACACACAGGGACAGCAGAUACACAUUGAGGGACUACCUUCCCUGAGUGACGACCUCCCUUCCAGAGUCUGCUCUCAACCUACCAGCUGGGCCAGUGGGAAUGAAGGCUGCUGCUACGGCCUGAAUGUCCCCUCCGAAACUCACACGGACCUUCAACUGUGACAGCAGAGAGACUUUAAAAAGUGGUCAGGUCAUGAGGACUCUGCCCUUGGUAAUGAAUUAAUGCUGUUACCAUGGUUGGUUAUUUACCAGAGGAGUGGGGCCCUGAUCAAAGGAUACUUGUCCCCCAUCCUCCCAACCCAUGCUGUCACUCAGCAAGAAGGCCUACACCAGAUGCGGCAGCUGCCCCCGCCCCAUCUCGUACUUUCCAGCCUCCAGCACAGAGAGUCAAAUAAACUGCCAUAGUUUAUGACUCUCCCAGUCUGUGCUAUUCUGUUACGGUGAUAGAAAAUGAACAACGACAGUUACUAUAUAGAGAAGCCAGGGGAAAAGAUGAGUGUGGAAUAAAACUGCCUCUGAGAAACACAUCAAAGAAAACGUGUGUGCCUUGGAAUGAAAUUGGAGACAUGUGGUUUCUAUGUAUUUUCCAUUAGAUUGCUAAUAAUGGGAUGUAAAUCACCUGUGGAAGCAGACGUGCCCGGCCCAGGCACCGGUGCCUAUUGGCACCAGCUGCUUCCGAUUAACUACCUGUCCCGAAGAACUACCUGUACUUCUUGGGGUUUGUGGGGGACAGGAAAUUAGCCUCUGGCCACCUUACCUUUAGUCCCACACUUCUCUCAAGCUGUACAACCAACAGAUAUGAAAAGGACAAAUUGUGUGAAUGGUGGGAAGUCAGAUAUGGAGGUCACUCCGUAUGCCCCCAAAAACGUUUGGCCAUGAACGGAGUAUAGUCUCUCCGGAAACACAACCCCUGUUCUAGAUGACACGUCCGACAGAUAGGUAUCAUCACAGAGGGUCGAAGGUGUGUAUCAAAGCAAGCAUUAUUCCUGUAGCAAGGAUGGUGCCCCCCCCCUUUUUUUAAAUGAAAAAACAUCAGGAAACCAUUUUGUGGCUGAACCACACAACCAAAAGCAGUGGCGUUUAAGAAAAUUGCAUAAAACAUCAUAUCAAAAACCUCUGGCAAUGUCAAAAAAGUAAGAUUCCUGAAUCCAGUGUGUAGCCAAAGAAGAAAAUUCAAUUUCGUUUUUUCACUUUGUCUGCCAAUUUUUAUAGCACUUCAUUUAAAAUGAAAUCUCUGAAGAAUCGAUUCAAAUUAGCUUUACAGUUUUCCCCAAAGAAUCCACUUUAAAAUAAAUUGAAUCGGAGCAUGUGACAUAAGUCAGCAUAAAACUCAUGUUAACUAGUCCGAAGGAAAAACUUCUCACCAUCAGGAAACACUCUCACAUGACCAAGCCAAAAAUAGCCUUUAGAUCGUCACUUUCAAAAAGUUACAAAAAUAGGGAGACUUGUUGGAACAAUGAUCGGGUGAGUUCCCUCUAAGGAAAUGGCCUGGAAUCCUGUGAUGAAUUACGAAAGAAAAUCCUUAGGGCAAAAUGGAAAUGCUAGACCUUGUUCUUCAUACGCAGACUGGCAGCCAUAGAAAUACCUUUAGCUGGACCACCGGCUUCUGCUCGACGUUGACAAUGGGCAGUGCCAGGUGUAGACUGAAGGUAGAGGCUGUGGUCUAGGCCCUGCCUGUUUUACUUCGAUGAGGCAAACCUAUCGUAAGUAUUUAUCAUAUUUAGAUUCUUAAGGUCCUUGGUGACAGUGACAGUAUCUUAGUUGACCAAUGUCUAUCCUUGACGCACAACAGUAAUUUCAUAAAUCCUCGAGGGAGGGACACAGAAUGGUUGAAUGAACUUAUCGUUUAAAUCGGAUCAGACCUAAUGCUUCUUUCAUAGCUUCUUUCUUCCCAGUUGUUAGGGUGGAGAGGGUCUUGUCCAUGUGAUCCAGGAGGGGGUGGUGGGUGAUAAUGAGCUCAUGUUUUUCCUUCCUGAAGUAGAGAAAUAUGUAGGUUGGUAAAUCAUGAAAGUCUUUACAGAUAUGUUCAAAUGCUCUGCUUCAAAGGAACCACACAGAAGUUUAUUUUAAAGGACUCACUGUCACAUGUGAUCCACGCUUCUCUUCACAACACCCAUCGGAGUGGGCUUUCUUUCCAUUCCCCCAUACUGACUGCUUAGCUUCAUAAAAACUGCAUUUCAUUUUCUGUUACUUUUACUUCUGCUCCCAUUCUCCAGCCCAGAGAUCCAUGAGUCCAACCAUCUGAUCAUCUCCCCUCAAGCAGUUGUCAGAGACAUAGGGAUGGCGCACCUAGUGGCUGCUGGGAUACCUUUAAAGUAGUGUAUGCCUCACACUGUUAUGCUUUAUGCUGACUGAUUAAUAUUCUCCUGAGUCCAGAAAACACUGUUAUAACCCAAGUGUUAUAUCUGAGGUACAGACAGACUAAAAUCUGCCCAAAACGAGAACUCUAUCAAGUAAAAGAAUCAAGGUUUUGAAUCCAGUAAGUCUGGCUACAGAGCCAUGAGACAUAUGUACUCUUUGUUAACCUGUGGUCUUGACUUAUUAUGUGCUAGUGGAAGGAAUGGAAUUUAGACAAUUAUAUCAUAAAUCACGUAUUUUACGGUGAUUCGUUUUUAUGUAAUCUGUGUUCCCUGUAUGUGCAGUGACCUUGGAGGACAGAAGAGGGCAUGGAUUCCCUCUUCUGGGAACUGGGGUUGGAUGGUUCUGUAGGGACUGGACUUGAACCUGGAUCCUCUGGAAGAGCAGCCAGUGGUCUUAACUGCUGAACCAUCUCUCUUUUCCCCAAAUCAUGUCAUUUUAAUGGUAACGAGGUAGCAAGUUUAGUGUCUUCUCAUGUCGAUGUGACCAAAUCUCAAAUCACACAAGAAUAUGCUGCUGUUCUUGUCUCACAGACUAGGGUUUCAUUUGCUGAGUUAUGGAAGCCAAAACCCAAACAAUUUGUCCUUUCCUUCCUCAUUUGGUGCCCAACACACACCGAAUGCAUCACUAACUCUCAUAUCCGAUACUGCACUCAGUUGCUCCUGCCCCACCACACUGCAGAUACCCACAUGCCUGCUGAUCCCUUAGGAAGAUGGCCGCCUGCAAGUCAAUGGGAGAACUCUGGGAGAAGAUGAGCCUGCUGCUGACACUCUACUUUGGGUCUUCUGGUCUCUGGCACUGUUGGAGAUCCAUCUCGGCUCUGUGAGGUGGUGCCUGGUGCUUCUGACAGCAGCCUGAGCUGACUCAGACACUCUCCUCCACAGAAACUGGUCACCGUCACAAUCUGCUUCACUCUAGCGUCUGGAUCCCUGGUAAGAAGGUGAGCUCGGAGUGGGCAGCAAGUGUCCGGGCCUGGCUUCAGUCAGCCGGGUGUUCCCAGAGUCUGGUGUGAGUACCUCAUGCAAAGCUGAUGCUUAUUAGACAUCCCUUGAAUGAACAGCAGGUACAAGUGUCCGAGUGAACGGAUGAACAAGUAGCCAUUGUGAAUUUCCCCUCUGAGAAGAAGACUCAGGCCUGGGUUGUAUUUAGAAGCAAGGGCCUUCUCUCUGUAUCGGCUGGUGUAGUAUUAGUGGGAAUUUAUGACAUUUCACCAAAUACUGCAGAUUUCUAGAAGUUCAAGUUUUAGUUCUUCAAUGAAUUCAAUAAAAUUUAAUCUCACUGAUUUUAUUUUGAAAGAGGCAAGCUUGUAUCUCUAGAGUUAAGAGGAGAUCAUCCUUAGAUCUAUCAAUCCAACAUUAUCACAGUUGGAAGGGAAUCCACAAGCAUGAGAAACGUCCUCAUUUAAUUAAUGGCAUGCUCGAUUUCAGGCUGGAAAGUGUCCUUGCUGGUUUCCGUGGGUGCAGUGACAUCGUGUGAGUUCUGCAGGCUUGCCACCCAGGGAGACCGGAAUGCAUGGGAGGGUUUCUCUUGAAGUCUUCCAAGGACUCCUAUUUCUGAGGAACUCAUUAUUCACUUAAUUAUUCAUUCUGUUUAUUUACUGUAUAGUUAUUACACAUAAAUAUGGUGUAAGUCCCCAGAAUCCUCAAACACCAGAUGCCAGCUUCCCUCCGCAUUCCCCAAAGACAGAGCAGAGCCAUCGCCGUGAGGAUUCAAACAGCUAAAACCCAAUUAAAGUCGUGCCAGCGUGAUCCUUUCCAAAAGGAAAACCCCGAAACGAAUCAGCUUUUAGUCACCCUCCUGACUGCUUCUGCACAGACAAACAAACAAAAAAAUUCCUGAAAGCCGAAGCUGGAAAUAGCGUUGGCAUUUGAAUCAUGGCUCUGGUGAACUCCGGCUCAGGUCAAGUAGACUUUGUAUCGUGUCGGGCUAAUUCAACUCGAUAUCAUUUCUUUCAUCUGACGAAUCAGAGGAGACAGAGAAAAUGGUGUUGUGCUUUGCAAGUUUCCCACUUGUCUGGUGUUUGGAGCCCUGAGGUGACAUAUCCUUGCUAGAGCUUGGCACCCCUGCAUUACAGGUCUCCUCUCCUGUGGCUCUUGCCUCCCUACGGGAUGGACUGACAUCCUGAGGAGGCAAACGUGCUACCCAAGCUCUCUGAAAGGGCGAAGGCUGAGGAAGAGGACAGAGGAGGCCAGCUUCCUGCGACGGUUCAGAAAGAAACUUUCUCACGAGGGUAGUACCAGGCUGGCCACUGGGAUGAGGGAAGGCACGUUGGAGGGUAGUUAGGGAAGGGGGUGUGUUCACGGGGCUCAUUUCCCUGGUGGCACUCACUUAAUGUAGAACAAAGUGACUUUGUAGACCAGUGUCUUCGGGUUCUACUGCUGUGAAUGGGCACCAUGACCAAGGCAACUCUUAUAAAGGACAACAUUUAAUCGGGGCUGGCUCACAGGUUCAGAGGUUCAGUCCAUUAUCAUCAAGGUGAGAACAUGGCAGCAUCCAGGCAGGCAUGGUGCAUGAGAAGGAGCUGAGAGUUCUACAUCUUCAUCUGAAGGCUGCUAACAGAAUACUGACUUCCAGGCAGCUAAGAUCCUCAUCUUAAAGCCCACACCCACAGUGAUACACCUACUCCAACAAGGCCAUACCUCCACAUAGGCCACUCUCUGGGCUGAGCAUGUACAAACCAUCACAACCAGUGUGUGACCAUAGUUUGGUGUCAUAGGGAGACAUAUUCAUACCAUUCUUCCCAUGUCCCAUCUGUCGUGACUGGCAUCUUCCUACAAGACUACUACCUCGAAAAAAAAAACCCUACUUCUAUUCCAAGAAAUACUCAAAGCUCUUCAGGAUAAGUCUUUAGUGUUUCUCUAAACCCAGCCAAGAGAGAUCAGGGGUCUUUAUUCUUGGCAGGUGGACUAAGGGUCAGCCUGCUCCUUACCAUUAACAGCUCGACUCCUCCAAGACAAGGCUGUGCCCCUUCCUGUGACCAGAGAGCAAAAUGCAACAGAGUCUGGGGCAAGCUGAGGAGAACAUGGGCAUUCAAGAAACACUGGACUUUGAUGCAUGUGACUCUUUCCCACAGUCCAUGAGCAGCUGGGAGGGAUGCCUGGACCUCUUGCUUUUUUAUUCCAAAGCAGUGAAGAGCAUGUUGGUUUUUUCUCUUUGGCUAUUCCUGGCAUUUCAGAUUAAAAUAAUGUUUACUGCCUCUUCCCUCGCAGGGCCUCGUGGCCAUUUCUGUUACCUGUUGCAAAUAUUUUCUCUUCGCAUACCCUGAUCUGGAGGCUUUUCGCUGAGAAGGCAGAAGCAUUUUCUAAUCUAUUCGGCAACCGCAUCAUAAAGUGUUAGAGCCCCCAAAACACAAAAGGCCUUCAUUAAUAAUGUAUGGAAUAAGGACUCUGUGCAACAUCUCACUAUUGUUUUCUUAUUAACAUAGCAUUAAUAAUCUGUUGCCGCUUUAAGAAUCCAUGUGUGUGAAAGCCUGGCAUAUUGGUAUGGCUCCAGUGUGAUAUAUUAAACAACGACAUCCAUGAUAUCAUGAAAGAAACAUGGAGGAGCUGAAAAAAAAAUCAAUUUCAAAUUAAAGUUAAAUAAUUCUUUCUUAUGUUUCAAUUUUCAAAGCCGCUGCUGUUUUAGAUUGGCAGUGAUAUAACUUCAUUAUUGGAGGUCAAAGGUAAACGGGCCUGUACCCUGUGCCUGUGAUCAGCAUUUUAAGCAGAGUUGUUCCGGUUUCUUCUUGUGAGUAGGGCAGGGAAUGGGAGAGAGUGGGGGAGUGGGAGCUAAGGGGUGGAAGGUUAAGUGUGUUGUUUUGUGAGCUCAGUUAAACCAUGACCCACAUCAGUAAGACUGCAUCGAAAUCAUUAAAACAUGAACUGGGUGAUCCUACAGACAAUGAACUAUCCAGUGCUCAAGUUUGAUCUCCACCCUCCCUACCCUCCCAUGCCCAGUUCAGGUAGUCUUACAUGCUGUGUAUAUUUUACCUCAAUUUUUGGAGUGCGAUAGUGGACACUUUACAAUUUUUUUUUUAUGGAUUCUAUUUCUGACCAGUGUUCGUGUUCUAUCCCUGUGAAGAGAUACCAUGACCAAGGCAACUCUUAUAAAAGAAAGCAUUUAAUUUGGGCUUUGCUUAUGGUUUCAGAGGCCUAAUCCAUUAUCAUGUAUAAUGUUUACCAUUUGGUGGGGAUUACAUUACUGGAGUGGAGCUCUCAUUAAUAGGGUUAGUGGCCUUGUAGUUGGGACCCAGGGACUCUUUUGUCCCUUCUUUGAAGACAUCGUUAGAAAUUCACCUAUGAAUUGCAGAGCAAGCCUUCUGUAAAUAACAAAUCUGCAGGGCCCUUGAUUUUACACGCUCGCGUUUCCAGAACAUUAAGAAAUGUUCUGGAACAUUAUUUAAAUCCAUAGAGCAGCCAUUUUGUUAUAGCAGUUUGAAUGAAGUCAGACUGAUUAAUGAGAAGAAACUGAGGCACAUGGAAGGGGUGGACUUGUUGAUGAACACAAGAAACAGGGACCAGUUAUUAGCUCCAGAUUACAUGCCUAACAGAAAUUUCCCUCUAAGCCAUCUGUGUCCAGAGACCCAUGUCUAAGAUCAGUCAUGGUGCAGGUGUAUACUUCCUGGCUUUCAUGAAGCUCACUGGUGACAGACUGGGCAAUGUGCCCAUCAUACUACAAGACAGGAGAACUCGGAAAAGAUCUCUGAGAGUCCUGAGGGAGUGCGACUGACCUCUAAAAGCAGUUAGGUGGGAUGUCUUAUGGGAAGUGGUGUGGGCACAGGGCCUACAAGGGUACUAUGACUUUAAUGCUUGUUACAUGCAAAAUUAGUGUUAAAAUUUAAGUGCCAUUGAACCUUUAAGAGGUGAGUGGUCCACGAUGGCUCUGUUCUCAUGAGUGGACUAAUGGAAGGGAAAGUGGGUUCAAGAUCAAAGGGUGAGUUCAGACUCAAUCGGUCUCUUUCCCCCUCUUGUCCACUCUGAUGAAAUGACACUGCAGUAAAGCCAGCCUUUGACCUUGGACUUGUAGCGUUCAGAUCUCCAGCAAGUACGUUUCUCUCCUUUGUAGAGGACCCAGUCUCAGGUGCUCUGUUGUAGCAGGAUGAAUGGAAGAAGAAUGAUCAGGCAGUCUGCUGCAGAAGGCGAGCCCCUCUCAAUCCCCUUCUAAGGAGUUCACAUAAUAGCAUCUUUGUGUGGGGUAAUGUUUGAAUUGUUCAUCAUACCUGUAACAGAGCUGGUAUGAGCUGGCCGGACCAGGAUGGGCACUGCGUCCCAGAGCAGCCAGAUGAAAGAUUAGUUGUCAGCCCACGAUGAAACUGUCCAGGAUGUGGUGGCCAACAAAGCUUGCGGCAAUGAAAGUGAUGUCACUUUAUAAUAUUUCGUCUGGAAACUACUAGCCACUGUAGAUUCUACUGGGUACUUAAAUGUUAGUCAUGGUAUAUGGCUAUGUGAUAAGAAACUGAUGAUUUUAAAAUAUAUUUUUAUUUCUUUAAGAAUGUCAUACACGCACACAAUAUAUUUUGAUCACAUUGACCCCAAGUCUUCCAUGCACCUCCCCGAAGAUCCACUCCCCAUCCUCUACCCCUUCCCAACUUCGUGUCUUAGAGAAAUAUAAUCCAUGGAGUCUGGUUUAUGCUAUCCAUAUACUCAGAGGUAUGGAGUGAUCCUCCGGAGUGUGGUGGAUAUAACGGGGCCACGUUUUAAAAGAAACAGACCCCUCACCCCAAGCCAUCAACUGUAGUAGCUCGUCAACUAUGAACGCAUGUGAGUCUCUCCGUGGUGUGGUGCUGACUGGCGAGAUCAUGUGCGGUUGUGCAGGUAAUCACAGCUGCUGGGUUUAUGAGUGCAGCCUAUCAAAUCCAGGGGUCACAUCUCACUACUGCCCUUCUGUAUCUCUGGUCCUUCCAACCUUUCUUCUCCUUCUUCUGGGACAGUCCCUGAGCCUUUGGGGGACGGGUCAUGACACAGAUGUUCCAGCUGUGGCUGAGCAAUCUUCUACCGUGCACUCUCUACACUUUGACCAGUUAUUAGUUUCUGCACUAACCACACAAAGAAACUUCUCUGAUGAAGUCUGACAGCUACACUCUACUAUGAAUAUGGAGAUAUAAAUUUAGAUGGUAGUUUCAUACUGUGUCUGUUUAGCAAAACGGUAGUGGUAAGUUUACCCCUUUGGUCUAUAAGGCCCCUGGCCAUGGGUCAUUGGCUAGAUUUGUAAUACCAGAAUGUAGUUGGUUACCCCCAUGAUAUUCGUGCCGCUGUUAUACCCAUGGGCAUAACAUGGCGUACCAGUUCUUCCUGCAGCUCACAGGGUUUACAGCUGAGUAAAACUGUGAGUCUCCUGUCUUCCAACAGUCUACUUCUCUUCCAUUUCUAUGUAAUCAAAACAGAAGUCUACAUAAAGGGGGGAUUUUGAAAUUUUAUUUAUUAAUUUAUUCUUGAAAAUUUCAUACACUUAUAUAUUAUAUUCGGGUUACCCUCCUCCCCAUCCUCUUUUAUCCCCUCACAUCCCCACCAACUUCCUUCUCCUUACAAGUCCCCCUCCCACUUUGAUGUCUUUGCGUGUGUCCAGUGUAGGCAUGGGUGUGGACUAAUCCACUGGAUCACAGGCAAUGUACCUGUGGCUUUAUCACCGAAGACAAUAACCGAUAACUUCCUCUUCCCCAGCAUCUAUCAGCUAUUCAUAUCUCCUCUCAGAAGGGCUGGGCUCAGGAGCUCCUCCCCCAUUGAUGACUGUUGAUGGACUCAGUCUUAUGCAGGUCCUGUCUAGGCAACCUCGGCUGCUAUGAGUUCAUAAGUGCCAGUGCCACACCAUGCUUCUAAGACAGUGUUCCUGGGCCUUCCUCCCGUUAUGGACUCUCAUGUUCUCUCCUGCCUAUCUUCUGCGAUGUGCCCAAAGCCGUGAAGAGACUACUAUGGGUGUCCCACUCAAGGCUGAACAUUUACUCUCAGCACCUGAACCAGCCACACAUCUCUGCAUUCACAUCUGUUUGCUCCAAGAAGAGGCUCCUCUUACGGAGGCCCAUGGGCUAUCUACAGGGGUUAAAGGAGAAAUCAUAGUGUGAAACAGAAAACGUUCUACAGAGAAGGACUAUGGGGAUAAGAGCAAAACCUGAGAGAGGGAGCUAAAGCUACAAUGGGAAGAUACUUGUAUUAAUAAUAAUAAAUACAUUAAAAGAAGAAACUAAAAAGGAGGGGGGAAUGGGGUCAAAGAAAGGGAGAAAAACCCAGCACUAACAGUGAGGGCCAAAACAGUGAAAACCAAAACAAGCUUAAAGGAAAGCAGUGAGGCCCUAGGUUGAUGUUUCAAGGUCAGUGAAACGGAUAAAUUCCUGAAAAGAGCCACUGAAGAAAGGUGACUGACUAUAUGAUCUUAUGCAUGUUGCUAGAACGUAGGGAAUUAUAACAGGAAUUGUACGUCACCUUAGAGUGAUUAAGGCACUGUCCAGGUCUAAAAGGGGAAUAAUACGAUGUAUGAAAUGACAAAGGAAAGAAGUAGGCUUUGGACCCUAUUAACCUUUAUGAGGAGUUAGGGAGAUGGGAGUCAUUUGUAAAGUGCCUGUGCUCUAAACAUGAGGCCAGUAGCUCCAGCCCCAGCAUCCGUGUAUAAUCCGGGCACAGCACACACUUGGAAUCCCAGUGCUAGAAGGAAGAGAAGAAGGACCCUAUGUGGGGGAGUCACAGGCCAGCCAGUCCAGCUGCAUGGGCAAGCGUCAGGUUCAGCUAGAGCCUUGCCUCAAAUGCUAAGGUGAAGAGAGACUAGAAAAGACACCCAACAGUGGCCUUGGGCUUCCAUACACACGGGGAUUUGUACACCUGCGCAGAGAAAACACGCACGCACACACACACACACACACACACACACACACACACACACACACACACACACACACACACACACGCAUCCCUUCCUUUCCAGAAAGACAGACUAACUUUAUAAGACAAACUAAACUAGUUCGAGAGCUCCAUCUCCCGUGUCAGCUAUGCUGGCUCCUGAGGCUGUACCUCUGACCUACCAGGACUGCAGAGAGGACACUGGUGACUUGGGGUGCUCCACUGUGCAUGGGUCUUUCUGACCUGCCCCCAGGACUAUCUAGGAACCGCAUCACAUGGGUUUCUCAGCACUGUGAGGGAUUCUGAAGUUCAAAAGAAAUACAAAGAACAUUUCUCUUCAUGAGACCCAAAGCUAAGAACUGCUUUCCUUGAAACACGUAUAGAAGGCAUUAAUGAGGUGCUGGGGACUGUUUUCUGUUUUUGUUUUUUAGAAUGAUCUUCAAGUGUAAUUCAAAAGUAGGCACUUUAAAGCAUAUGAGGUCUCUUCUUUGCCAGAAACCGACUAAAAGUCACACAGCAGGCUGUGAAUAUACCAAAGCUCUAACUCUGGAAGGCUGCCCUUGAGAAGUCCCUAUAAAGAAGUCUAUAAAAAUGUCAGAGUGGUAGCCUGACAUUUUUGUUAUUAUUGUGUAUGUGUCUGAUGUUGGCGCGCGCGCAUGCAUGCGUACGUGCGUGUGUGUGUGUGUGUGUGUACAUGCUAUGGUAUUCAUGUGGAGGUCAGAAGACAACUUUGGGGAACCAGUUCUCUCUGUCCACUUUGUAUGCUAGUGUCUCCAUUCACUGAGCCAUCUCCCUCGCAUGUGACAAGUUCGUGUGGCUUUGCUAAUGUAUCCUUUAAUAUUAAUUUGAGUUGCCAUAUAUAUUUGUAUAGUUUUGUUAAAAUUCUUACUGUGAGCUUAAAUAGUGGCAUGGGGUCUUAUCCCUACCACACACCAAGAUCUGAGUUGUUAACAAGUUUACUUAAUUUUAGAACAGUUUUAUAUAUACAGUGAAAUUAUAGAGAUAGUACAGGUAGUUCCUGUGCCCCCGGCACUGGGCUUCUCUUCUUCUUAGCAUCUGGCUUUGGGAUGGACACUGGCUGCAGUCAAUGAACUAUGACAUGUACAUUCUGACUAACUUCAUGCAGUCAAUGAACUAUGACGGUUACACUUUCACUAAUUAACUUCACUUGGUCAAUGAACUAUGAUGGUUACAUUCUGAUUAACUAGCUUCAUUCAGCCAAUGAACUAUGAUGUGUACAUUGUGACUAACUUCAAUCAGUCAAAGAACUGUGAUGGUUACAUUCUGACUAAGCAACUUCAUUAGGUCAAUGAACUAUGAUGUGUACAUUCUGACUAACUAACUAAUGAAGACAGGAAGGAUGCAGAGAGGACAGGAGGGAAGAAAGGAGUAGAGAAAGGGAGUCAUCCAAUACCAGUCAGUAGCAAUAGGGAAUCUUGUUAGAGAAAUUCAGUCAGGGAACUAUGAUGUGUACCUGAAUCUCAUUCAGGGUAUCAUAAUUAGUCACUAUGGCUUCUUAGGCAAUCCUGGGGUUUCUCAGGCUCCCUUGUUUUGAUGACCAUGACCAUUUUGAAGAGAAUGGUGCAAAUACUUUACAGACUACUCACUCAGUUCUUAGAGGGCCCAUUUUGGUUGCUUCUGUUUUGUUUUUGUUUUUUAAAACAAUUAUGAGUAAAGCUACUAUAAAUAUUCUGUAUGGACAUGAGUUUUCAAACCAGUUGGGUGAAAUACCUCGAGGCUUGGUCUCUGGAUCAUGUGAUAAGCCCAUGUUUAGCUUUCUGAGACUGUCUGGCUUCCAAAAGGGCUGCACCAUUUUACAUUCACUCCCGGCAAUGAAUGAGACUAGAUAUUAAUCAGCUACAAUAAAGAGAGACGGGAGGGAGGGGGAGGAACAUGCACAUGAAGAUUGGAGAAUAGAGAACGAGAGACAUGUUAGAUAAGCCAUUCACACAGAGAAUGUGCACUGUGAUAGGACAUUCUCUUUAAGAACGGGCAGUGAAAGAAACAGUCACAGAGAUAAUGGCCAGGAGGUUUCCCUGUGAUGAAAGGCAGAAAGAGUCCUGGGAUUUUGUUUUCUAUUAGCACAAAGAGGAAGAUUCUGCUGGAUAUACGUCUGGGUAUUAGCUAAGAAGUGGGUCAAGCUGAAUCCUAAGUGGCCCAAAUGAAUGCAACUCUAUUUAUGGUUGUGAUAGAGAAAACAGGAAGGAG